CGCGUAGGCGGGAUGGCAAGUCGGUCGUGAAAUCCCUCGGCUCUACUGAGGAGCGUCGAUCGAUACUGCCGUUCUUGAGGGAUGCAGAGGAGACUGGAAUUCCCGGUGUAGCGGUGAAAUGUGUAGAGAUCGGGAGGAACACCGGUGGCGAAGGCGGGUCUCUGGGCAUCUCCUGACGCUGAGGCGCGAAAGCGUGGGGAGCAAACG
rnacentral:rRNA from 1 species